rnacentral:lncRNA from 1 species
GUCUGUCUGCCCAUCUCUAGGACUGCUCCAAGGCCUCUGAGGACCAUGUUGGUACGUCUGGUGCAGUGUCGUUAGUCCAGAGCUCUUCCUAAGGCCUCCAGGCAUCAGUCAGAUGCCUCUGACCUGCUCUUCCAGGUGCUGUCCAGGGCUCCUCUCAGAGCCUGUUCAAGGCAAGGAGGAAGAACAACUAAGCAGAAUACUCUGUGGGUCUGACUGUUGUCUCCACUAAAGACUCACCUCAACCUCCUCCCUCUCCUCUGGUGAAAUGGAGGAGAGGUUUAUUAGCAGAGGAGUGCAACACUUCCAGUUUGCCAGGUAGGUGAUAAUUGCCGCAUU